rnacentral:rRNA from 1 species
AGAGUUUGAUCCUGGCUCAGAUUGAACGCUAGCGGGAUGCCUUACACAUGCAAGUCGAACGGCAGCGCGGACUUCGGUCUGGCCGGCGAGUGGCGAACGCGGUGAGUAAUUGUAUCGGAACGUGCCCAGUAGCGGGGGAUAACUACGCGAAAGCGUAGCUAAUACCGCAUACGCCCUACGGGGGAAAGCGGGGGACCUUCGGGCCUCGCACUAUUGGAGCGGCCGAUAUCGGAUUAGCUAGUUGGUGGGGUAACGGCUCACCAAGGCGACGAUCCGUAGCUGGUGUGAGAGGACGACCAGCCACACUGGGACUGAGACACGGCCCAGACUCUACGGGAGGCAGCAGUGGGGAAUUUUGGACAAUGGGGGCAACCCUGAUCCAGCCAUCCCGCGUGUGCGAUGAAGGCCUUCGGGUUGUAAAGCACUUUUGGCAGGAAAGAAACGGCGCUGGUUAAUACCUGGCGCAUCUGACGGUACCUGCAGAAUAAGCACCGGCUAACUACGUGCCAGCAGCCGCGGUAAUACGUAGGGUGCAAGCGUUAAUCGGAAUUAGCUGGGCGUAAAGCGUGCGCAGGCGGUUCGGAAAGAAAGAUGUGAAAUCCCAGGGCUUAACCUUGGAACUGCAUUUUUAACUACCGGGCUAGAGUGUGUCAGAGGGAGGUGGAAUUCCGCGUGUAGCAGUGAAAUGCGUAGAUAUGCGGAGGAACACCGAUGGCGAAGGCAGCCUCCUGGGAUAACACUGACGCUCAUGCACGAAAGCGUGGGGAGCAAGCAGGAUUAGAUAACCUGGUAGUCCACGCCCUAAACGAUGUCAACUAGCUGUUGGGGCCUUCGGGCCUUGGUAGCGCAGCUAACGCGUGAAGUUGACCGCCUGGGGAGUACGGUCGCAAGAUUAAAACUCAAAGGAAUUGACGGGGACCCGCACAAGCGGUGGAUGAUGUGGAUUAAUUCGAUGCAACGCGAAAAACCUUACCUACCCUUGACAUGUCUGGAAUGCCGAAGAGAUUUGGCAGUGCUCGCAAGAGAACCGGAACACAGGUGCUGUAUGGCUGUCGUCAGCUCGUGUCGUGAGAUGUUGGGUUAAGUCCCGCAACGAGCGCAACCCUUGUCAUUAGUUGCUACGAAAGGGCACUCUACUGAGACUGCCGGUGACAAACCGGAGGAAGGUGGGGAUGACGUCAAGUCCUCAUGGCCCUUAUGGGUAGGGCUUCACACGUCAUACAAUGGUCGGGACAGAGGGUUGCCAACCCGCGAGGGGGAGCUAAUCCCAGAAACCCGAUCGUAGUCCGGAUCGCAGUCUGCAACUCGACUGCGUGAAGUCGGAAUCGCUAGUAAUCGCGGAUCAGCAUGUCGCGGUGAAUACGUUCCCGGGUCUUGUACACACCGCCCGUCACACCAUGGGAGUGGGUUUUACCAGAAGUAGUUAGCCUAACCGCAAGGGGGGCGAUUACCACGGUAGGAUUCAUGACUGGGGUGAAGUCGUAACAAGGUAGCC